CCUCUGUCCAGGAAUAACAAGUCAUGUGAUCAGGCACAAAACACUGUCUACGAAUAGUCCGCACAGCUUUACAGCUUCCGCCCGGACAGAAGCCUGUGUGCAGCCGACCGCCCUGUGUUCGUUUGGGCAGCGGCCUAGCUGGGGACACCUAUUUGGAGCUGAGGUUUCUCCCGGGGAAGCAGAGGAACUUUGUUGGAAAAGAACAGAUUGCCUCCUGCAGCGGCAAACGUACCAGUGGCAACGUGAGA